CUUUGGAGGUCCCGUAGUAAGUCAGUGACUGAAUAAGCUGAUUGGCGCUUUAGAAUUUAAGACUACUCGUGACUGUAAACAGAAAGGUGUUCUGGCAUGUUUGGAUGGGUACAUGAACAUUGCAGUGGAGCAGACAGAAUAGUAUGUCAAUGGGCAGCUGAAGAACAAAUAUGGAGAUGCAUUUCUGAGGGGUAACAAUGUGUUGUACAUAAGCACUCAAAAGAGGAAGAUGCAAUGAAGACUUUUUUUAAAAAAUUUUGGUUCUGAUUUUCUUAUUUGCAAUUUUUUUUAAAGCAUUCAUGUUGUAUCUCAGCCUCUGUACUCCAGUCUUUCAAAAUCUGGUUCUGUUGUAAUUGGCUGUUCAAGCUUCAAGUUUUUUUUUUUGUUAUAUGAAAAGAUAAACAGUUGUGCAGAGUGUGGUUUUAUUUUAUUCAUAAAAUAAAACUUUGUGAGUUUAGCAUUAGACUUACCUAGUGCAUGUUCAACAAGGAUGUGAAAGACUAAAAUGUAUCAAUAAAAAUGAACAAGACAAACAAUAAGACACUGAGAACAAUGAAGUGAAGUGAACCCUGCCCUUGCAGCUCUGCUGUGUUACGGGUAGGAGGUUUUCACUUUACUUGUUGGGACGUGGAUUGAGACUGAUGACGGCAUUAGUGCUAGGCACCUGGAGACAAGGACUGUGUGUCUGAUUGUCUGAGCAGACCAGCAUUCAUAUUGUGUGUUGUAAAAUUGAUUUUUGUGUGAUUCUAGUCUUGUGGGGGAUAUUUUCCCUACAUGUGUAAAGGUUUGUGAUUUACUGUGUUUCAUUGUUGGCCAGGUCACCAGUGAAAAUUUGGCUGAUCUUUGCUAGGCCACCUGAUCCCUUUUUUGGGUAUAAAAAAAAAAAAAAAAAAAGUAAAAAAAAAAGUACCUGGAACAAACUCUAAUUACUAUCCUGUCAGCCUGUUCUACUGUACAUUUCUACUUAUACAGUUAUUAGCUAGUUUGACACCCAAAUCUAUUUAAUGUUCCCUCCCAAAUUGUCUUGUUUCACAUACUCCGAUUACCACCAAUCUUGGACUGCCUUAUCUAAGGUAAGAUUAAAUAGUUUUAAGAUUAGUUCUAUUUGGAGUUUGUGAAACCAGCUGUUAGCUACCUAAAAACCAACGUUGAUUAAAUGCUCAGACGUCUUCAGAUUUUAAAAAACAGUGAUGGAGCUGAAGUCAUCUGUUGAUCUUUUCAGUUCUUGAGCCUUGGCUAGAGCAGCCACAAUGAAGGUAUUGGAUGGUUUGACUUUAAAAUCUUCUAUCUACAUGUACAAAGUCUGUAAUUUGAACAUACUGUUAUAUAAAAGUAACUUAAGCACAAUUUUAAACAAGAUUAUUAACGAAUGUCUUAUUGAGCAUGUCUCUUUUUAACAUAUAUAAAAAAUAAACUUAAAUGUAGCCACCUGUUUCUGUAUAAAGACACUGAUUUACAAAGAAAAUAAUCAUAGUGAUUUCAAAACUCUCACAUGUUACACAGAAAGGAGACAAAAGGCUCCAAGGUCAGACUUAAUCUGAAGAUAAAGGACAUGUUUAUUAGAACAUCAUGGAGCUGUGCUAUAAUAAUGUGUAGUGUCUCACACAAUCAAACGGGUAAUCACUAGUGCUUGUCAGGUUUGCCAAAGCAAACAUUUGCUUACUUUAACUAAAGUUAAGAUUGUAUUAAUGUAUUGGUAUUGGUAUUAUAUUUAUAUUGAUUGAUAUUAGGAUAAUCAGUUUAACGAAAAGUCCACCUGUUCAUCCCAAAGUGUCUAGGUGGUUAAAUGCUGUAAGUGCAAGAAGUAUGUAGAAUGGAAAGUAAAAACCAAAUAUUCACACAAGACUACAUGUUAAAAUGUGGAUCUACCCAACAUCCCUCCCAUAAACCAUUAGUGACCCACCCCAGUAAGAGGACCGGGCUUUUUUGUAAAGUAAGUCCUUGUAUGUGUAAAUGAUUUCUCAGGAUUUUGUUAGAGGCAAUUUUAAAGUAUAUACAUUUGAUUUUUAAUGUAGAAUUCUGAACAACUGCAAGCGAACAUCUUUGUGAGCUUAAAAAAUGGCAUGUGGUUUUCUAUUAGCAAGCUUUUGUUCUGUGAUCAAAAGCUACAUGCUGGUUAAUCAUUAAGCAUACCGCAUUACCAUACAUACCGUUAGACACUUUUUCAGUAGUAUUCCAUUAGUCAUUCAAUGACACAGGUAUUGUGCUCUUUGUUAUAUAUAAAAAUGUCUUUUUUGUAAGAACAAAUUGCCUCCUUUUAUAAAUGUGUUUCACAUGCAGAUCUUUAGGAAAUGACCAUGGCCCCUUCAAUAGGAGUAUCUGGUACUUCUGACGUGGGCGACAAGGGCAUAUUGUUCAAUUUUCAUGGGAGUUAACAAUGGAUUUUGUAUAUAACCUUAAAGUAUGUAGAACAUCUAGUUUUCUAUAAUUUUAAAAUAAGAAUGAAAGCUUUCUUUUAAUAAAAAUCCAUAACUGACAUCAAUAUGUAUACAACCAACAACUGGUAUAGCAAAAACAUUAUUGUAUUAUUUUAAAAUACUUUUCUCAGUGUUAAACCACUUGUGUAUGUGUCUCAUUGUGUUAUGUAUUUAGAAGAACUGAUACUGCAUUCUGUUACAUAUAGUAUAAUGCAUGAGAUAUGUAGGAAAGGAUAUUUCAU